UGGUUCCACCAAGCCUAACUCACGGGGUAACUUACAGAGUUCUCGUAACUCACACACCCUGUGGAAGGUCCCCGGAUCCGUGGUAGAAAGUACCGCUGGGUUUUUCAGUCAGAUACGAGCCACGCGGUCAAAGGAUAGGGAUAUUCUGUACGACUCGCAGGCUUGUAUUGUUGGUCAUAGCACAGGCAAUGUUAGGAUCACUUCGGUGAUAACAAAACGGGGCCCAUUCUGGAGGAACC
rnacentral:RNase_MRP_RNA from 2 species